GAUGAAGAACGCAGCGAAAUGCGAAAAGUAAUGUGAAUUGCAGAAUUCAGUGAACCAUCGAAUCUUUGAACGCACAUUGCGCCCGCUGGAACUCCGGCGGGCACGCCUGUCCGAGCGUCAUUUCAACCCUCAGGCCCCCCUUCGCGGGCGGGCCUGGUGUUGAGGCCCGGCCGCUACCCUGCGGCCGUCCCCUAAAUUCAGUGGCGGCCUCGCCGUGAUCCCUUGCGUAGUAAUGCACCUCGCACCGGAGAGCGCCGUGGCCACGCCGUAAAACCCCCAAUUUUCAAUGGUUGACCUCGGAUCAGGUGGGAAUACCCGCUGAACUUAAGCAUAUCAAUAAGCGGAGGA
rnacentral:misc_RNA from 1 species